rnacentral:rRNA from 1 species
GGGCCCGCACAAGCGGUGGAGCAUGUGGUUUAAUUCGAUGAUACGCGAGGAACCUUACCAGGGUUUGAAAUCAUUUCAAAACUCCUUGAAAGAGGAGCCUCCUUCGGGAUGAAAUGACAGGUGGUGCAUGGCUGUCGUCAGCUCGUGUUGUGAAAUGUCGAGUUAAGUCUCGUAACGAGCGCAACCCAUGUCUCUUGUUGCUCACUGAGUGCUUAAGAGAGACUGCCGACCAACAUCGGAGGAAGGUGUGGAUGAUGUCAAGUCAGCAUGCCCCUUACAUCCUGGGCUACACACGUACUACAAUGGUAAGGACAAUGAGCUGCGAUCCUGCGAAGGCUAGCCAAUCUCAAAAACCUUAUCUCAGUUCGGAUUGCACUCUGCAACUCGAGUGCAUGAAGGUGGAAUC